UGUUGCUUGUUUCCUCUAAUUGCUAGUAAAAAAAUUAAAUAGACUGUGAAUGAAUUUGACAAUCAACUUGACCAAAACUUGUUUGAACCGCAGGGACUGAUAAGUGAGUUCGGCACCCCCAAGGCAGAAAAUCUUUUAGAGGAAUUUCAAUUCCAAUGACGGGAGGCUACGAGGCUUUAUUGCUGAUUAUGGGGCUGCAAUGAUGGUAGUGUUGUGGAUUGCAAUAUCUUACGUAAUACCAGAAAAAGUUCCAAAUGGUGUUCUAGAAGGUUGUUUUGUCCACUUUCAUGGAACCCUGCAUCUCUCUAUCACCGGACAGUAGUGAAGGUACUGUUUGUUAUUAUACUCUUGUUACAUUUUUCUCUCCAUCCAAAGUGCAUUCUUUUAAUACAUAGUUGGCUCAGCAUGCUUAGCAAAGUACAUUGUAGUCAUAGUUCUGUUGAUUUUGUUAAAUUAUAUGUGGAUGUUCAAUACUGUGAAACAUAAGUUGUAAUCAUUUUAAUUUAGGUAAGUUCUAAUAUCCAUUUAGAGUUACUACAAACAAACUACAGGAUAUAUGGAAGGUACCCUUGAGUUAUAUAUUUGGGGCAAUUAUUCCAGCUUUCAUGAUAGCACAACAGAAAGAAUUCAACCUUCAAAAGCCAUUUACUUACCAUUAUGACGUUUUCCUACUUGAAAUAAUGGUAUGUUUUGUUUGCUUCCUAGAAUUUGGCCUUGAGCUAUUCCAAGUUUUAUAAAAUUUCUUGACAUGGUUAUCAAAUUUAUCUCUAUGGUAAGUCUUUAGACUCUGAUUUGUGGUAUCCUUGGCCUUCCUCAUUCAAAUGGAGUCCUUCCAUAGUCCCCCAUGCAUACUAAGAGUUUGGCAAUUCUUAGGAGGCAGCUGAUCCAAAAUAGGGUUAUUAAAAGCACCAAGGAAUGCAUUGAGCAACAUACGGCCAACAUACGUCGGCGUUGCUCUUUAGCGUCGGUUUAAGCCGACACUAUAAACAGUUUUUCUAGUAGUGGUAUUGGAUGCCGAAUUGGUCUUGGAUUAAGCUUGCUUUGGUUUCCAAUUCACCUAUGACAGAUGGUAAGUAUGGCCAUGUAUGAGAAUGAAUUAGUUAGUUAUGUGAGCCUGAAUGAUAGGGAAUUCGGUUAGAGAGAGAGAAUAUACAUGUGGAAGGGAGGUAGUGUCAUGUGUUGGGGAGGACCAUAUUGAUUAUUUUAGUAUUGUUGUGUUGUUGCUGUGUCUAAGCAUAUUGAAGGCAUCUUUGACCUCAGCAUCUGGUCUAGGUCACUUGUUAACUGAAGCUAAGGAAGAGCUUAUCAUAAACAAAACCCAAGUUAAAGAGGAGAAAUGAGAGAAGUUAUCAUUUUAUCAUGUGUUGAAGAUAUAUUUUAGAGGAAAGUUUUUAAUGAGAAAGGUUACUAGAUUUA